UUGUUUGUUGGAGCAUGAUUGAUAUCACUGUUCAACAGUCAUUUCUUGUUGUACUAAAAAACAGCUUCUCACGCUCAAUUUUACACUUGUAUACGAAUUAUAUUAUGCCAUUGGUGUCUCGCAGUAUAAAAAAAUAAUUCUAGAAUAAAAUACUACUCUGCUCAGCACUUCUGAUAAACACGUGCAGCUUCCAGCUGAAAUUAUUUCAUUACGACGUGCGAUACGACACCGAUCGAGUAGGAUUGAAUUCUACUCGAUCGGCCCGUCGUACGAAGCACUUCUCGCGUCGGUAGAGUCUCGAAAUUUCACUUCUCCACGUAUGCUCUGACGCAGUCUGCAUUAGCAUACGUAACGACCUGUCGGCGUCGGAUCAGAAGGCGUUAACGACGCGAUAACGACGGCAGUGUGCAUUGGGCUUUACGUUUGUAUUGCGACCAAUAUUUGUUUCUGCAGAUGAAUAAGUCAGCGCUUCUCCUCUUGCUCGUCAUCGGACUCCUCGUCCUCACCGAAAUCGAAGCCGCCAGCGUCCCGGAGAGCAUGGGGCCCCAUUGGGUUCAUUCCCGCCGUCGAGCCCCACUGGUGAAUAACCGCCGUAGAUGGAAUUGGAAUCAAGCACCGAAAGCCGAUGAAUUGGCAGACAUGCAGGAAGCAGUCGAUCGCUUUCUUCAAUAAAGUGGUGGACAGUUGGUGCCUACUGUUAUUACUAGUUCACCCGACGUGUAAAACGUAAUCUGCUUGUUUCAAUAAACCAACACAAGUUAAA